rnacentral:tRNA from 1 species
GGGGUUGUGGCUCAGAGGUAGAGCACUUGCCUAACAUGCAUGAGGCACUGGGUUCAAUCCUCAGUACCACA